UGGAAGAUUCAUGUUACCUUGCUGUGCUGU
rnacentral:piRNA from 1 species